rnacentral:misc_RNA from 1 species
UACGAGGGGUCCUAGCGUUGUUCGGAAUCACUGGGCGUAAAGAGUAUGUAGGCGGCCUUGUAAGUCAGGUGUGAAAGCCCCGGGCUCAACCCGGGAAGUGCAUCUGAUACUACUUGGCUUGAGUGUUGGAGAGGAUAGUGGAAUUCCAGGUGUAGUGGUGAAAUACGUAGAUAUCUGGAGGAACACCGGUGGCGAAGGCGGCUAUCUGGCCAAACACUGACGCUGAGAUACGAAAGCGUGGGUAGCAAACAGG